CUCAGGGUCACAGAGCGCCUCCCAGGGUACGCAUGCGCACUCUUGCGCAUACUGCGGGAUCCGGGAGCCGGGAGGAACACUUUUUGUGGUUCCUGGGUUAAGGGCAGGUUGGCUGAACUGGAUUUCAAAAUCGGGAAAUUCCACCACCUACAGUUUAAUGGCAUUGAUCUUAACCACUAAGAAGGAAGAGUGGAAGGGACAGAAGGUAAUACUAACUAUGAUAUUAGACAGACAUAUAAGAAAAAUUCCAGAGUUUUCUAAUUAAAUGAGUAAGAAUACAUAGCCUUGCUACAAACUAUUAAAGUGCCAGGGGAUUCUUUGCAGUUUUGUGAUUGUUUUAGGACUUGCAAUGUAUAUAUUAACAACUAAAAUAUACUCAUCUGGAUUAUUGUAUACAUAUGUCUAUAAAAUUUAAAAUCAAUUAUUUUAUUUUUCUAUUUAUCUCCAAAUUACAACCCUCUGUCAGAAUUAAUUAUAUUAUUAUCUUCUUUUGUGGACUUUUCCUUGAUAUUCUUAUAUAUUUCUUUCUUUUUCUGACUUUCUCUUUUUUAUGGCAAAACUCUGAGUAAAAAUUGGCAAGAUUCAGUGAGCUGGUCCUUCUGUCAAGGCAGAGCUCUGCCCUUAAAGGAUGUGAGGCCGUCCAGGGAUCCCUGUUUGACAGAAAUGCUGACUGCAGAACUCAAAGAAGGCAUUGGAGAAGCUGAAACAGAUCUUCAAAGAAGAGUCCAUGGGUGUUAUUCAUUUCUGUGUGGCACUGUAGAGCUUAAUGCAGAACAUAUCAAAACCGUGGAAAGGUAAUGGUGGGGUCAUGAACUUUAUUAAGCGAAGUGAUCCCCUCGAGAACAAAACAGAACUUAAAGUGCUCCGUACUGAGACGUGCACUACUAAAUGGGGAAUACCAGCAAAGCAGUCACACCUGGCGAAACCUUCUUCCUCUGCACGAGGUUCUUUCAACUACCAUCCUAGGCUGUCUGGCUGUCAAGCACUCUAUCAUGAAAUAUAAUAAUAAAGCUAUUUCAGAAGUGCUUUGCAAGUUUCAGUUUUUCAGAAGUUCAUGUUGCCCUUAAUGCUCUAGUAAUAGUUAAUCCUCCAGUGUGAAGUCUUUCAGACUUUAAAUCCAAGCCCCUAAAAAGACCGCGGAGUUCCACUGUGAUUUCAUCUCUGCCUGGCUUCUCACUUUACCUGCCACCACGCUACCUCCCCACUGGAGGCACUGUAUGCCACAGCUUUUACCCCCACAUUUGCAAACUCAGCUGUGCUCUUUCUGUCCCAGGACAUUAGCACAUAUUGUCCUUCAUCCUACAAUACCCUUCUGUCCCCACGCUCUCUUUACUGUUCAGAGGAGCUACACAGGUAUCACACAUGCUGUAAUACAUCCUUGACUGGCAAGAAGGUUUCCCUUCUCUGUACCCUCAAAACACCACGUUUGUCUGUGCUAUAAUACAUAUUAAAAAUAUUCUAAUUCAAGAUUUGCUUUGAUCCCUAUACUCUUUAUCUUGUCUUUCCAACAUCCAGUACUGAGUUAAAUAAAUUUUGUUGGAUGGUCAUAGAAUACAUGUAACAUGUGAAAUAAAUAUGUUUUAUAAGGUACAAAAAAUUCAUGCCUAGAAAAAUUGAUAAGAUUCUGUAAAAGAAACUGCAGAGAAUGAAAAUGUAAAUAACAGAGAGAUGAAGACUAUGAAUAGUACCUCUAAAGAAAUGAAAAGAUUUGUCUACAUAAAAGCUGGUACAUGAAUAUUCAUGUAUUAUUCAUGGUACUCAAAAAGUAGGUCUGAAAUGCCAUUAACUGAUGAAUGAAUAAAUAAAAUUGAGAUACAGUACAGCAAGAUAUUAUUUGGCAGUAAAAAGGAAUCAAGUACUGAUAAUAAGUUGCAGCAUAGAUAUAAACGUGAAAACGUCACACUAAGUGAAAGAAGUCAGUCACCAAAACCCACGUAUUGUGUGAUUCCAUUUAUAUAAAAUAUCCAGCCUGGGAAAAUCUUUAGAGAUUAAAAGUGGAGUAGCAGCCACCUAGCACUGGAACUGAGUAGAGAAUGGCAGCUAUGAACAAAUUUCUUUGGGGAGUGAUGGGACUGUUAUAAAAUUGACUGUGGCGUAAUUCUGUAAAUAUAAGAAAAAUCAUUUUAUAAAAACUACAAAAGUAUAUUCAUAUAUUUUCAUGUAUAAUUAUAUUCAUAUGUAAUUCAUAUGUUUUCUAGGCAUGCCAGUAUAUUCCCAUUUCUCAGCACUCAGGAAGCUGAGGCAAAGUUGUAAGUUGGAGGCCUGGCUGAAUUACAUAGCAAGAUCUUGUCUCCAAACAAAACAAUAAAACGAUACACUUAAA